rnacentral:rRNA from 1 species
AUGCAUGAUCUGGACGCCGAUCAGCUGCGGAAAACAAAGGAUUUGGGGGUGAAUUGGUUACUACCUGAGGAGCUCCACCUGGAGGGCGGGCCCGUCCUUGGUGCGGCGGUGGGAGGUGCCGCCGAAGCCGGUGGUGACGCCGUAGAUGUCGCCGCCGCCGGCGAGGCAGCUGAGGAUCCACUCGCUGCUGGCCUUGACGCGGGGCUGGCGCCCUCGAUCUUCACCACGGGCUCGCGGAACUGCGCCACCAUCCGCUUCACCUCGUCGAGGUGGCUGCCGGUGAGCUCGGCCGCCGCCGCGCCCCAGUUGAGCGGGUCCUUCUCGACGAUGGCUCCGUUGCCUGCCAUUCUCUCGGUGGGUGGUGCUGGUGGCCGGCGAACUGCGCGGAGGAGGAGGAGCAGGAGAGCCGAAGAAGAGCCGGAGGAGAUGGUGGUGAGCUCUUCUUGGAGGGAAACGGGAGCGGAGUGGCAGCUUAAAUAG